rnacentral:lncRNA from 1 species
CUUUGAAGCUCGUAAUAGGAGUAGCUUUCCCAGAGUCUCCUAGGGUAAAAUCAGAGGGUCCCUGGUUAAGCUGUCUGCAUUCUUGGUUUGCUGGCAGUGCUCAGACUAGUGAAGGAACUCUUGUCUCUUUGACCUCAUAUCUUCACUCACAUUAGUGCCAUUUAAGAAUCACACACAGUGUUAGUGGAGGAAUGAGGAGGAAGAGAGCUACUGCAUGGAAACUGUUGAAUGUUUACCACUGGGGAGAUUUAAGUGAGUACCAGAUUUCAAUGUGAUUUGUUUUCUAAACUCUAGAGGGAAACUGAGUCCCUGGAAAGUCCCAGCAGAGAUGGAUCCAAACAAGCUUUCAAUGGAAGAGGGCAAGCAGUUCCUUAAACAGUGUGGGAUCCCACAAAGAGAUAUCGAUGCAAUGACUGAGAAAUGGGUAGUUGUUGCCUCUGUGGAGGUUUUAAUUCGAUUCCCUCUGCUGCCAGGGGAGGACCCCACAGCUCGUUGUAUUUCCAAUAAAAGCAGUCAGCCUGCAGUGUCCCAACCAAAUCCAAUCCCUCAAAAUAAAGAAAACCAAGAAAAGAGGAAGUACAAUGAUCAAUCAAUGAAAGAUUUUGCCAAGAAGCCAAAUGUUACAAAGCAGAGUACAGGUGAUUACAUAAAACCUCCUUCGAAGAGACCCACUAGAGAGAACACACAGAAGAAAAAAUGCUUUAGAGCAGUGAGAAAAAGCACUCCAGAGGAAGAGGAGGAAGAAUCCAAGGUAAAAUGCAAGAACUGUGGAGCCUUCGGUCACAUGGCAAUGAGUAACAUGUGUCCCAUCGAACGCUGGGAUGAAGCCCUUCCUGUCCAACUUCUGGGGUCAAACAAGGAGAAGCAGAAACUGAAAACAGUGCAGGCCCAGCAGCUCCAGACUCCAGGAAUAUUUAAAAAUACUGAGGGAGAGGAGAAAGAACAAAAAAUGCAAGAAGUGAUACCAAGGAAAACUCUAACACAGAAAUAUCCUAGAAGGUCUCCGAAGAAGAGGCCGAGGAGCUUGGUAGAACAAGAAGAAAUUUGUUAUUUUUUGAGGAAACCUACGAGACCAUCACUUAUUUACCUGACCAAGAAGAAAACUUCAUUGGAUCCUAUCUGAUUGGUCUCCCACUAGUCAAGACAUCUGAUAUGAGAACAACUACCCCCUCAUGUUUUUAUAAAAAAAGAACAAGAAGAGAACACUUAUGGAUUAGUGGAAGCUCAUGAUAUUGGAUUCUCAGACACCCUGGAAUCCAUUUGGAUGAACUGCCAGGAUUCUUCCCCUAGCACCAGGAUAAAAAUCACAAGGAUGUGUUGUUUCCCCCAAGUGUGCUCUUCAGCCUGAUUGGAAGAUACCUUAUUCAGCACGUGACAUUAAUGUCCAGACAAAUAUGAAUCAUCCUGGUACAGAUCCAACUUCCUAUGUAUAAUAUGUGAUACCAAGUAUGGCCAGGACUUUGAAGUCAGAAUCCAGGCUCCAGGAAAGAAACCUCUCCAAUUGACCAGCCAGGAGAACCAGGGUCACCCAAAGAAACAUCAUAUCAACUCUUGCUUGAAUCCCACCAUGAGAAUUCUGGUACCUGAGUUGGGGGCUGUCCAGGAUUGCCAGCCUGCUCUCAGUACAAAUUGAUGUCAUAUCCACAGGCACCCAAGAUGAGCUCAAAGAAACCAGCAUUGAAGGUCAGUGUCCAAAACGAGCUUCUUGUUAGGUUUUCUUAUCCAAGAUCUAUCAAGGAAACAUCUGUCUCCCAGGGCACACAUUCAGAGAAGCAAAACACACUCAUUUGCUUCCAAAUGGACAAAGAACAACCAUGUUUUGGCAUCUCAUUGUCUACAGUGACCCAG